GAUGAACGCUGGCGGCGUGCCUAAUACAUGCAAGUCGAGCGAACAGAUGAGGAGCUUGCUCCUCUGACGUUAGCGGCGGACGGGUGAGUAACACGUGGAUAACCUACCUAUAAGACUGGGAUAACUUCGGGAAACCGGAGCUAAUACCGGAUAAUAUAUUGAACCGCAUGGUUCAAUAGUGAAAGACGGUUUUGCUGUCACUUAUAGAUGGAUCCGCGCCGCAUUAGCUAGUUGGUAAGGUAACGGCUUACCAAGGCAACGAUGCGUAGCCGACCUGAGAGGGUGAUCAGCCACACUGGAACUGAGACACGGUCCAGACUCCUACGGGAGGCAGCAGUAGGGAAUCUUCCGCAAUGGGCGAAAGCCUGACGGCGCAACGCCGCGUGAGUGAUGAAGGUCUUCGGAUCGUAAAACUCUGUUAUUAGGGAAGAACAAAUGUGUAAGUAACUAUGCACGUCUUGACGGUACCUAAUCAGAAAGCCACGGCUAACUACGUG
rnacentral:rRNA from 1 species